CACGUAGGGGGCGAGCGUUGUCCGGAAUCAUUGGGCGUAAAGAGCUCGUAGGCGGCUCGGUAAGUCGGGUGUGAAACCCCCAGGCUCAACCUGGGGACGCCACCCGAUACUGCUGUGGCUAGAGUCCAGUAGGGGAGUGUGGAAUUCCCGGUGUAGCGGUGAAAUGCGCAGAUAUCGGGAGGAACACCAGCGGCGAAGGCGGCACUCUGGGCUGAAACUGACGCUGAGGAGCGAAAGCGUGGGUAGCAAACAGG
rnacentral:rRNA from 1 species